CUUAAAAUCCAAAGUUUUCUCUGCAUGGAUGAUAAAGACCAUGAGACACAUUUUGUAAUAGCAGACAGUUUGGCCUCUUGCCUUGGCUAACAGUUCUUCUCUACCUUAUGUUGUGUGGAUUGGCACAUGCUAGUUGUCCACUUGGCUGCUGCCUCUAUCUUCAGAGAUAGCUUCUCUUCAGUGAUGCUGUAAGCAUACGCAGCACAUGAGAUCCUUCCAAGCCAGAGGAAGUGUUUAGAAACAAGGGCACUUUUUCAAAAGGUGACCAGCUCACACCUGCAGGAUAAUUCCCUGAAAGCAGAGGCUAACAGAAGCCACAGGACAAAGCUACCAGCCACCACUACUCCUAGCAGAGGCUGGAGAAUCACUAUCCUGCCACCAUUGCUUCUUCUGUGAGGAACAGCUGCCAGGAAGUGGAGACACCUAGAAAAGUCCUCAGAAGCUUCUGGGAAGGGGGAAACGUGAUGGAUCAAGAAGGAGAUUUAGCUCCCCACUGUUACUGAGAUGGUCCUUACACCCCCUUUGCUGAGAUGACAAUCUCGUCUACCUUCCCCUGCAUCUGUCAAAGAAGAUUAUUAGGUUCACUGAAGCCAGAUAAAGCUUCAUCUCUGGUAGCAAGAUAACCCUCAGUAAAGCAGACUGGGCUGAAGAAAACGACAUGCAGGUUGGAGGUGGAUUAAGCUCUCUAAAUAGAGGAGUGCAAUUGUUGUUUGAUUUGGAUGUGCACACAGGAGAGGUGACUGUGUCUCAAAUGUCUGAACAUCUAAGCCACUUCCAGGACUCUAACUUCCUGAAGUUAAUAAUAGGGGACCCAGGACAUUGGCU